rnacentral:lncRNA from 1 species
UUAUGAGCCCCAACUAUGCUUCUAUUCUUCCCUUCGUGUCCAAUGAUUUUAGCCCCUGUAGACUGUAACUUGUGCUGGUUCUGGUGUGGACGUAAAACUGUGUGUAGUGACUGUGGCUUUUAGAUUGUUGAGAUGGACGAGAAAAUAUAUGAGUGUGGUAAUUGUGGUGGAAGUGUAUGAUCUUGGGUUGGUGGUGGUGGUCUAUGGCGAUGAAGCGGUAGUGCUCUGGAUGCCUGGGUACAAUAGAUAAUGAAGUGGUGGCGUGAUGGUGAUUUGAGGCCGCAACGGCAAGAGAGAGGUUAUGAGAGAGAAAUCGGGUGAAACUGUUAGGUAUUUGAUGUUAAU